AGAGCUGCAUGAAUAAGCGCAACGCCACCUUCAAAGUCCUGCUCGCAACGCACUAGAAAUUGGCGGCAAAGGACAAAGCUUUGGUGGCUGAACAGCAAAACAAGACCGGGAACGAUGCUCAAGUGUCGGAGCUCUUGAAGCGCGUCGCGGAAGUGCAAGGGGAGAAAACUCGGUUGGAGGACCAGCACCGAGAUGAGGUGGCCCGGCUGAGGGCGCAACUUGAAGCGCAAGCCAAGGCGCACAAGGCCGAGGUAGUUCAACUUACCUCGGCCCUCUCCACUCAAGCCGACGAGAAGAUACGCCUGGAAGGCGAAGUGCAGAAAUGUAAAGAUCUUGUCGCCAAAGCCGAGGCUCGAGCCAAGUCUGCUGAGGAGGAGAAGGCCGAGAGCGCCCACACGCUCAACCUGUGCGCUAAGGAUCUCGGCAAGAUAGAUGGACUGCUGGCCAGUAAGUUGCCUUAACUCAAAUCUCUUCCGUUGAUCACUAAGCCGACAACAAUGGUAUGCCGAGAUUCAUUAUUUCUUCUUUGUCCUUGUCAAAAAAUUUCCCACACUCUACCGAGACUGCUCAAGCUGCCGUGAUCAGAGCUCGCGGAAAAAGGGAUUCAGCCAAGGCAUUGCCCUCGGAGUACGAUGUGGAGGACUACCUCAUCAGCAUCUGGACCCACGUCAAGCCACUGAAGUCCUUCGGGGUCGACAUGCUUAAUGCUAGCAUCCGCGCCUUACGAGCUCUGUGGCCGGGAGAAGAAGCUCCGAGUGGCAUCCCGGAAUUAGCCAAGCGUCUCCUGGGGGUGGAGGACUGGCUGAGCGAGUGGCGAGAGUCGGCCGCUCGUGUCGGCGCCGACGAGGCACUGUCGUUCAUACUUUCCUCGUACGACGGCAUUAACCUUGAUGUGCUGCAGUCCAUGCAUGUCGGCUCGCCCUUCCUUUCGGACCCGGAGCUCAUUGCGAGACGUUAAGAACGGGCCUACUCCUUCAUCCAGUAUGCCGACGUGCAUAAGUUUGUGGAGGGUCCGAUAUCAGACGCGGACGAUGAGGCGGCCGAUAUCAGACCCAAAGGUCGCCUUCCUUUCGCUAUUAUCUUCAAGAAGGAUAACUGUUUCCUUUGGACCUCACAGUGCGAUGAGUUUCCAUAUCUUGAAAGAUAAGCUUCCUAACCCACAGUUUUCCUAGAAUGGUAACCUAACUCUGAUACCCUUUUCUAGUUCUAGAUCCUUUAGACUCUUCAAGCUCUUUUUGGAUAUUUUGAGAUGUUUCUCACUAAGGUCUAGGCGCCAUUCUCUUACAAGAUCAUAAAGUUGUGGCGUAUGCGUCUCGCUAACUUCGUUUUCACGAACAUACAACUAUCCGACUCAUGAUCUUAAAUUCUUGCACUUGUUUCUUUC